rnacentral:rRNA from 1 species
GGACCCGCACAAGCGGUGGAGCAUGUGGUUUAAUUCGAAGCAACGCGAAGAACCUUACCUGGUCUUGACAUCCCUCUGACAGGAGUUUAAUCAUUCCCUUCCUUCGGGACAGAGGAGACAGGUGGUGCAUGGUUGUCGUCAGCUCGUGUCGUGAGAUGUUGGGUUAAGUCCCGCAACGAGCGCAACCCUUAUCUUUAGUAGCCAGCAGUAAGAUGGGCACUCUAGAGAGACUGCCGGGGAUAACCCGGAGGAAGGUGGGGAUGACGUCAAAUCAUCAUGCCCCUUAUGACCAGGGCUACACACGUGCUACAAUGGCGUAAACAAAGGGAAGCGAUAGGGUGACCUGGAGCAAAUCCCAAAAAUAACGUCUCAGUUCGGAUUGUAGUCUGCAACUCGACUACAUGAAGCUGGAAUCGCUAGUAAUCGCGAAUCAGAAUGUCGCGGUGAAUACGUUCCCGGGUCUU